rnacentral:rRNA from 1 species
GAUGAACGCUGGCGGCGUGCCUAAUACAUGCAAGUCGAGCGAACAGAUGAGGAGCUUGCUCCUCUGACGUUAGCGGCGGACGGGUGAGUAACACGUGGAUAACCUACCUAUAAGACUGGGAUAACUUCGGGAAACCGGAGCUAAUACCGGAUAAUAUAUUGAACCGCAUGGUUCAAUAGUGAAAGACGGUUUUGCUGUCACUUAUAGAUGGAUCCGCGCCGCAUUAGCUAGUUGGUAAGGUAACGGCUUACCAAGGCAACGAUGCGUAGCCGACCUGAGAGGGUGAUCGGUCACACUGGAACUGAGACACGGUCCAGACUCCUACGGGAGGCAGCAGUAGGGAAUCUUCCGCAAUGGGCGAAAGCCUGACGGAGCAACGCCGCGUGAGUGAUGAAGAUCUUCGGAUCGUAAAACUCUGUUAUUAGGGAAGAACAAAUGUGUAAGUAACUAUGCACGUCUUGACGGUACCUAAUCAGAAAGCCACGGCUAACUACGUG